rnacentral:rRNA from 1 species
AUUGAACGCUGGCGGCAGGCCUAACACAUGCAAGUCGAGCGAGCGGCCGACGGGUGCGUAAUUUCUGGUUACUGCCCGAUCGAGGGGGAUAACUACUGGAAACGGUGUCUAAUACCGCCUACUGUCGGUUCACCCCUAUGGGAUUAGCUAGUAGGUAAGGUAAUGGCUUACCUAGGCGACGAUCCCUAGCUGGUCUGAGAGGAUGAUCAGCCACACUGGGACUGAGACACGGCCCAGACUCCUACGGAGGCAGCAGUGGGGAAUAUUGCACAAUGGGCGCAAGCCUGAUGCAGCCAUGCCGCGUGUAUGAAGAAGGCCCUAGGGUUGUAAAGUACUUUCAGUCGGGAGGCGUUACCGACAGAAGAAGCACCGGCUAACUCCGUGCCAGCAGCCGCGGUAAUUC